rnacentral:rRNA from 1 species
GACGAACGCUGGCGGCGUGCUUAACACAUGCAAGUCGAACGGAAAGGCCCUGCUUUUGUGGGGUGCUCGAGUGGCGAACGGGUGAGUAACACGUGAGUAACCUGCCCUUGACUUUGGGAUAACUUCAGGAAACUGGGGCUAAUACCGGAUAGGAGCUCCUGCUGCAUGGUGGGGGUUGGAAAGUUUCGGCGGUCGGGGAUGGAUUCGCGGCUUAUCAGCUUGUUGGUGGGGUAGUGGCUUACCAAGGCUUUGACGGGUAGCCGGCCUGAGAGGGUGACCGGCCACAUUGGGACUGAGAUACGGCCCAGACUCCUACGGGAGGCAGCAGUGGGGAAUAUUGCACAAUGGGCGGAAGCCUGAUGCAGCGACGCCGCGUGCGGGAUGACGGCCUUCGGGUUGUAAACCGCUUUCGCCUGUGACGAAGCGUGAGUGACGGUAAUGGGUAAAGAAGCACCGGCUAACUACGUG